rnacentral:rRNA from 1 species
UACGUAGGGGGCGAGCGUUGUCCGGAUUUAUUGGGCGUAAAGAGCUCGUAGGCGGCUUGGCAAGUCGGGUGUGAAACCUCCAGGCUCAACCUGGAGACGCCACUCGAUACUGCUAUGGCUAGAGUCCGGUAGGGGACCACGGAAUUCCUGGUGUAGCGGUGAAAUGCGCAGAUAUCAGGAGGAACACCGGUGGCGAAGGCGAUGGUCUGGGCCGGCACUGACGCUGAGGAGCGAAAGCGUGGGUAGCAAACAGG